CGGCAUGCCUAACACAUGCAAGUCGAGCGGGUUUCGGACCUAGCGGCGGACGGGUGAGUAAUGCGUAGGAAGCUACCCGAUAGAGGGGGAUACCAGUUGGAAACGACUGUUAAUACCGCAUAAUGUCUACGGACCAAAGUGUGGGACCUUCGGGCCACAUGCUAUCGGAUGCGCCUACGUGGGAUUAGCUAGUUGGUGAGGUAAUGGCUCACCAAGGCGACGAUCCCUAGCUGGUUUGAGAGGAUGAUCAGCCACACUGGAACUGAGACACGGUCCAGACUCCUACGGGAGGCAGCAGUGGGGAAUAUUGGACAAUGGGCGCAAGCCUGAUCCAGCCAUGCCGCGUGUGUGAAGAAGGCCUUCGGGUUGUAAAGCACUUUCAGCGAGGAGGAAGGGUUAGUAGUUAAUAGCUGCUAAUUUUGACGUUACUCGCAGAAGAAGCACCGGCUAACUCUGUG
rnacentral:rRNA from 1 species